GACGAACGCUGGCGGCGUGCUUAACACAUGCAAGUCGAACGGAAAGGCCCUGCUUUUGUGGGGUGCUCGAGUGGCGAACGGGUGAGUAACACGUGAGUAACCUGCCCUUGACUUUGGGAUAACUUCAGGAAACUGGGGCUAAUACCGGAUAGGAGCUCCUGCUGCAUGGUGGGGGUUGGAAAGUUUCGGCGGUUGGGGAUGGACUCGCGGCUUAUCAGCUUGUUGGUGGGGUAGUGGCUUACCAAGGCUUUGACGGGUAGCCGGCCUGAGAGGGUGACCGGCCACCUUGGGCCUGCGAUACGGCCCAGACUCCUACGGGACGCAGCAGUGGGGAAUAUUGCGCAGUGGGCGGAAGCCUGAUGCAGCAACGCCGCGUGCGGGAUGACGGCCUUCGGGUUGUAAACCGCUUUCGCCUGUGACGAAGCGUGAGUGACGGUAAUGGGUAAAGAAGCACCGGCUAACUACGUG
rnacentral:rRNA from 1 species